rnacentral:misc_RNA from 1 species
AAUGGAUUGCUAACAUUUGACGUUGCCACAAGUUCUUUACUCAAUGUUGUAACUGGCACUUCAUGAUCAGCAUGCUCAUCAGCCUUCGUCUCAUCAUCAUUACCAAGUUCAUCAUCUUCCAACCUGACAAUUGCUUCUUCAGUGAACUCCUGAUUGUCUACUGCCUCUUCCUCUUCAACUUUCUUCAGAGCCAUGUAAUCUGCCUCAUCUUCUACAUUUUGCAAAGCAGCCUCAACGUCAGCAUUAGAAAGCUGAACCUCAGUGACAUUGCUGUUCUUCACUACUUCAAUAUUCUUUAAGGAAACUGUUCUGUGGCCGGAGAACAAUUCCAUUGGAUCUAGUUUCUUGAAGAAUUCAGUGUUGUAACUUCCACUCUGUAUAACCAAAUCAUCCAGAGCACGCUUCUGGUUUGCCUUUUUCAAAAUAUUCUCUUCAAUGGUA